GCCCGCUACUCACAGCUCCUGUAAAAGAUUUCAAAGGAGUGGCCGAAAGAUAGGUCAAUUUCGGGAGGAGAGGUGUCCUGAUACCCUCCUCUUGAAAGAGUUCAAGUCGUAGGCAGGAGGAAAUACAGAUGAAGGAAUACAAAUAAGCAUGCAGAUAAUCCAGGACAUGAGAUAUUGGUUAGAUUAUUUAAUAAACAUUAACCUAAUAGUUUUUCCAUGUGACUCGAUGUCUUGCCACUAGUCUGGGGCUCGUUAGUCUUUCCCCUUCCCUCCCUAAGGGUAGAGGGCACAUGUGGCAAUCAAAUUGAGCCCCAGCAGUGUACAAGGUAGCUAAAAACUACCUCCCUGGCUAGCAAACAGUACCAGAGGCUAUAAAUCGUAGAGCAAAGAAAGAAAAUGUGGCAAAUAAUCAGGGGUGUGACUCUGAUUUUAAAAAUUUCAACUCCAACUCUAGGAAAUUUUAAGGUUCCGACUAUGACUUCAACUCCAGAAAAUUUCAAGGUUGUGAUUCAGACUCCACCCCCCUCCCCUUUCUUCUCCUCUGCAGUACAGUGGUAGGUAAAUCAAACCCUGUCACACCACACCACACCCAGCCACAAAACAUCACACAUGUAAGAGUUAGAGGAGGAGGAAGGGGAGGGGUGGGAAAAAAAAAAAAAAAACAAAAAAAACGUCUUUCAGGUUGAUGGUUGUGUUAGGUCUUUCUGGUUGAUGGUGGUGAUAGGUCUUUCUGGUUGAUGGUGGUGUUAGGUCUUUCUGGUUGAUGGUGGUGAUAGGUCUUUCUGGUUGAUGGUGGUGAUAGGUCUUUCUGGUUGAUGGUGGUGUUAGGUCUUUCUGGUUGAUGGUGGUGUUAGGUCUUUCUGGUUGAUGGUGGUGAUAGGUCUUUCUGGUUGAUGGUGGUGUUAGGUCUUUCUGGUUGAUGAGGUGGUGUUAGGACUUUCUGGUUGAUGGUGGUGAUAGGUCUUUCUGGUUGAUGGUGGUGAUAGGUCUUUCUGGUUGAUGGUGGUGAUAGGUCUUUCUGGUUGAUGGUGGUGUUAGGUCUUUCUGGUUGAUGGUGGUGUUAGGUCUUUCUGGUUGAUGGUGGUGUUAGGUCUUUCUGGUUGAUGAGGUGGUGUUAGGACUUUCUGGUUGAUGGUGGUGUUAGGUCUUUCUGGUUGAUGGUGGUGAUAGGUCUUUCUGGUUGAUGGUGGUGUUAGGUCUUUCUGGUUGAUGAGGUGGUGUUAGGUCUUUCUGGUUGAUGGUGGUGAUAGGUCUUUCUGGUUGAUGGUGGUGUUAGGUCUUUCUGGUUGAUGGUGGUGAUAGGUCUUUCUGGUUGAUGGUGGUGUUAGGUCUUUCUGGUUGAUGGUGGUGAUAGGUCUUUCUGGUUGAUGAGGUGGUGUUAGGUCUUUCUGGUUGAUGGUGGUGUUAGGUCUUUCUGGUUGAUGGUGGUGUUAGGUCUUUCUGGUUGAUGGUGGUGUUAGGUCUUUCUGGUUGAUGAGGUGGUGUUAGGUCUUUCUGGUUGAUGGUAGUGUUAGGUCUUUCUGGUUGAUGGUGGUGAUAGGUCUUUCUGGUUGAUGGUGGUGUUAGGUCUUUCUGGUUGAUGAGGUAGUGAUAGGUCCUUCUGGUUGAUGAGGUGGUGUUAGGUCUUUCUGGUUGAUGGUGGUGAUAGGUCUUUCUGGUUGAUGGUGGUGAUAGGUCCUUCUGGUUGAUGGUGGUGAUAGGUCUUUCUGGUUGAUGGUGGUGAUAGGUCCUUCUGGUUGAUGAGGUGGUGUUAAGUCUUUCUGGUUGAUGGUGGUGAUAGGUCUUUCUGGUUGAUGGUGGUGUUAGGUCUUUCUGGUUGAUGAAGUGGUGUUAGGUCUUUCUGGUUGAUGGUGGUGAUAGGUCUUUCUGGUUGGUGGUGGUGUUAGGUCUUUCUGGUUGAUGGUGGUGUUAGGUCUUUCUGGUU